ACUUAAAUAGCUUAUAUAGAGUAUAAUAUUGAAGAUAUUAAGGAAAUAAAAAUAUUUUUAAGUA